UGACAUUGAGUUAAAUUUUUCUAGAGAUGCACGUCAGGCUACGGCGUAGGGUCUGCAUCUCCACCUACCUACGUACGUAGCGGCGGCGUGGAUUUAACGCAGGAGCAUAAAUUGGCCUUAACAGACAA